rnacentral:misc_RNA from 1 species
GUUAGAGCGCGCGCUUGAUAAGCGUGAGGUCGGAAGUUCAAGUCUUCCCAGGCCCACCACUUUGAUCGAGCGCACUACGUCUCAAUAUCGACGUAAAGCAUUCGUCUUCUGGUACGGGGCCAUAGCUCAGCUGGGAGAGCGCGUGCUUUGCAAGCAUGAGGUCGUCGGUUCGAUCCCGUCUGGCUCCACCAGAUGGAAUUGAAGAUCGACAAAGUGCCCUGCUAACAAAGCGCCUUUCAUAUCGUCCGCGAAACAUCACUUCGCACGCAUUGUCCGGAUGGACAGUGACGUGCGUGAUAUCUGACAUCGUAAAGAGGAGAUCGAUCCGAGUUUGGGAUCUGCAAAGCAAUUUGCGGGCUCUCAUUCCUAAUCUCCAGAUCAUUUCGGCGCUCGCUCAUCGCAAGAUGAAUGAGUUGUAAAUGAUCUUUGUAGCGAAGCUUGACCGCCUCGCUAUCGGUUCGAUCUUACGAAGCAAGCUGGUCUUUCUAAUCAGUGUCCAGCCGCAUGCAGCAUUUAUCGAGGGUGCGCGCCUUUUGACUUCGGUCUUGAGGCAAGUGUGCGGACAACAUUCUGCCGAGUGUGUGGACAUUGAUAAUGAGAGCAAUCAAGUGCCUUAAGGGUGUUCGGUGGAUGCCUUGGCGCUGAGAGGCGAUGAAGGACGUGCUACGCUGCGAUAAGCCGUGGGGAGCUGCGAAGAAGCUUUGA